rnacentral:rRNA from 1 species
GAGUUUGAUCAUGGCUCAGGGUUAACGCUGGCGGCGUGCCUAACACAUGCAAGUCGAACGAGGCUUUCUCUCCCGUAAGGGAGGGGAUGUCCUAGUGGCGAACGGGGUGAGUAGCACGUGGGCAACCUACCCUUCUGUGGGGGACAACUCCGGGAAACCGGGGCUAAUACCGCAUUCGGUCACCGUUCGCAUGGAUGGUGCAGAAAGCAGCAAUGCGCAGGAGGAUGGGCCCGCGGCCUAUCAGCUAGUUGGUGGGGUAACGGCCUACCAAGGCGAAGACGGGUAGCUGGUCUGAGAGGACGACCAGCCACACGGGGACUGCGACACGGCCCCGACUCCUACGGGAGGCAGCAGUGAGGAAUCUUCCGCAAUGGGCGAAAGCCUGACGGAGCAACGCCGCGUGUGGGAUGAAGUAUUUCGGUAUGUAAACCACUGUCGGAGGGGAAGACCAAGACGGUACCCUCCAAGAAAGCCCCGGCUAACUACGUGCCAGCCGCCGCCGUAAU